GAAAUGCGAUAACUAGUGUGAAUUGCAGAAUUCCGUGAAUCAUCGAGUCUUUGAACGCACAUUGCGCCACCUGGUAUUCCGGGGGGCAUGCCUGUCCGAGCGUCAUUGCUGCCCAUCAAGCACGGCUUGUGUGUUGGGUCGUCGUCCCCUCUUCGGGGGGGACGGGCCCCAAAGGCAGCGGCGGCACCGCGUCCGAUCCUCGAGCGUAUGGGGCUUUGUCACCCGCUCUGUAGGCCCGGCCGGCGCUUGCCGAACGCAAAUCAAUCUUUUCCAGGUUGACCUCGGAUCAGGUAGGGAUACCCGCUGAACUUAAGC
rnacentral:misc_RNA from 1 species